GGAAUAUUGGACAAUGGGGGCAACCCUGAUCCAGCCAUGCCGCGUGUGCGAAGAAGGCCUUCGGGUUGUCAAGCACUUUCAGUAGGGAGGAAGGCCUGUAGCUUAAUACUCUGCAGGAUUGACGUUACCUACAUAAGAAGCACCGGCUAACUCCGUGACAGCAGCCGCGGUAAUACGGAGGGUGCAAGCGUUAAUCGGCAUUACUGGGCGUAAAGCGCGCGUAGGCGGUUAGUUAAGCUGGAUGUGAAAGCCCCGGGCUCAACCUGGGAACUGCAUUCAGAACGGGCUGGCUAGAGUACGAGAGAGGGUAGUGGAAUUUCCUGUGUAGCGGUGAAAUGCGUAGAUAUAGGAAGGAACAUCAGUGGCGAAGGCGACUGCCUGGCUCGAUACUGACGCUGAGGUGCGAAAGCGUGGGGAGCAAAC
rnacentral:rRNA from 1 species